rnacentral:tRNA from 1 species
GGGUCUUUAGCUCAGUUGGUUAGAGCAGCUGACUCAUAAUCAGCAGGUCAUCGGUUCAAGACCGGUAAGGCCCA